CCCAGGGCUGUGUGCUCUCCCCGCUGCUCUUCAUCCUCUACACCAAUGACUGCAGAUCCACACAGCCCAACUGCCACCUGGUGAAAUAUGCUGACGACACAGUUCUCCUGUCACUGCUGUCAGGCCCCUCACAACACCACGGGCCGCUCUGCAGGAGUUUGUAGAGCAGUGUGACAGCUCCAAACUUGAACUGAACGUGAGCAAAACCAAAGAGAUGGUGGUGACCUUCUCCAGUAGGCAGAGGGAUCUGGCUGCUUCAGUCACCACCACCAUCCACAAGAAGCCAGUGGAGGUAGUUGAGGAGUACAAAUACCCGGGAACCAUCUUUGACAACCUCCUGAAAUUCUCUGCCAACACAGAUUCUCAGGAGGUGCCACCAACAGCUAUACCUCCUUAGGAAACUCCUUUGGAGUCAGCACACCCAUCAUGAUGACUUUCUACUGUUACGGCCCUAGCAGGGCCUCCUCCUGAAGGUGCUUGUGUGGGCGUGUCCUUCAAAUCUCUCCUGCCUUAGGUGCCACCUUUUUCUUUUGUGCAGCUGACUCUCGUCAGUAAUUGAAGGGAUUUAAGCCCAGAGAAAGGUGAGCUCUGCCCCAGAGUGCCAUUAGUGUGGUUACAGCUUAUGAGCUGAGUGUUUUUGGUGGUUUCCAGCCAGUGAGCUGCAUGUCUGUGUUUGCAGCUAGUGAGCUGCUCUCUUUUUGACUUACUUUUUACGACCCCUCAGGGGAACGUAACACUACUAUGCCUUCCUGGAAAGCAUCAUGACCUUCUCCAUCACCUGCUGGUUCCACUCCCUCAGCCUUCAGAACAGGAACAGACUGCAGCACACUGCAUCAGUGUGCUCUAAAAUCAUUGGCCUGCCUGUCAGAACUCUGGCACAGGUUUUCAACCAACAGGCCCUCAGACAGGCAGCCUGAAUCAUCAAUGACCCCUCUCACAUUCUUCACCCUGCAUUUCAAUGGCUCCUCUCUGGGCGACGCCUCCGCUGCAUUUCCUGCAGGACUGAGAGGAGGAGAGCCACCUUUGUCCCCAAAGCCACUCUGCUUUUUAACUCCAGCCGAUAAGAACAUUUCCCACACCAGAAACAGAAACUACUCUACACUCUUUUAUACUGCCGACACUUUGUUCUUUUAGUCACUUACAGUUAUUUAUUCACCUUUCAGUCACUUUAAUUUUAAAACUGUGUAAUUUUAAAACUGUGUAUA